rnacentral:rRNA from 1 species
UACGUAGUUUGAUCAUGGCUCAGAACGACGCUGGCGGCAUGCCUAACACAUGCAAGUCGAACGAAGCCUUCGGGCUUAGUGGCGCACGGGUGCGUAACACGUGGGAAUCUGCCCUUUGGUUCGGAAUAACAGUUAGAAAUGACUGCUAAUACCGGAUAAUGACGUAAGUCCAAAGAUUUAUCGCCGAAGGAUGAGCCCGCGUAGGAUUAGGUAGUUGGUGGGGUAAUGGCCCACCAAGCCGACGAUCCUUAGCUGGUCUGAGAGGAUGAUCAGCCACACUGGGACUGAGACACGGCCCAGACUCCUACGGGAGGCAGCAGUGGGGAAUAUUGGACAAUGGGCGAAAGCCUGAUCCAGCAAUGCCGCGUGAGUGAUGAAGGCCUUAGGGUUGUAAAGCUCUUUUACCAGGGAUGAUAAUGACAGUACCUGGAGAAUAAGCUCCGGCUAACUCCGUG